rnacentral:rRNA from 1 species
UACGGAGGGGGCUAGCGUUGUUCGGAAUUACUGGGCGUAAAGCGCACGUAGGCGGCUUUGUAAGUUAGAGGUGAAAGCCCGGGGCUCAACUCCGGAAUUGCCUUUAAGACUGCAUCGCUAGAAUUGUGGAGACGUAAGUGGAAUUCCGAGUGUAGAGGUGAAAUUCGUAGAUAUUCGGAAGAACACCAGUGGCGAAGGCGACUUACUGGACACAUAUUGACGCUGAGGUGCGAAAGCGUGGGGAGCAAACAGG